GGUUGGGUCCUGUGCGAUUCCAUGGUGUGAAUCCUGUCAGGUCCGGAAGGAAGCAGCAGUAAGCAUAUGUUGGAAGGUGCUGCAGGAUUACCUGGCUUGA
rnacentral:SRP_RNA from 1 species